CAUAGCUGCGCCUGCGCGAGUGAAGCAUCUCGGGAGGACGUGACGUCAACCACGAUUCGAAUCAAUACAGGAAGAGAGGGAUCACGCGUUGCCAGAGGGUGUCUCCUAUCAGCUUCCUGCACUCCUGCCUCUGCCAGGGCCAGAGCACACCUGGCCUUGUGCCCUGUGGCCUUCUGAAGUCAGCUCAGCGCUGGACCUCCAGGUGACUUCCUGCCAUCGUCAGCCUGAGCCACAAUGUAAGGAUGAAACUGUCCCGACAGCCUGGCUGUCACCACUUCCAAACACAGGGUCUGAGUCAACACCCGGCACACAGUACCUGGGAUCCUCUUGGGACUUUAAAGAGGAGCACAGCAGAGGCUGUGGGUGCGGCUCAGUGGUGAACUCCUGCCUGGUUUUUCAAGACCCUGGGAUCCAUGCCCAGCACCACAAACAACAACCAAAAAGCAAAAACAACAGCAACAAAAACAAAAAAUAUAUAGUUUACUAUCGUAACAUUUGUUUUAAUUUAAUAUCAGUACUAUCAAGC
rnacentral:lncRNA from 1 species